rnacentral:rRNA from 1 species
UGGGGAAUAUUGGACAAUGGGCGCAAGCCUGAUCCAGCCAUGCCGCGUGAGUGAUGAAGGCCCUAGGGUUGUAAAGCUCUUUCACCGGUGACGAUAAUGACGGUAACCGGAGAAGAAGCCCCGGCUAACUUCGUGCCAGCAGCCGCGGUAAUACGAAGGGGGCUAGCGUUGUUCGGAUUUACUGGGCGUAAAGCGCACGUAGGCGGACUAUUAAGUCAGGGGUGAAAUCCCGGGGCUCAACCCCGGAACUGCCUUUGAUACUGGUAGUCUUGAGUUCGAGAGAGGUGAGUGGAAUUCCGAGUGUAGAGGUGAAAUUCGUAGAUAUUCGGAGGAACACCAGUGGCGAAGGCGGCUCACUGGCUCGAUACUGACGCUGAGGUGCGAAAGCGUGGGGAGCAAACAGG